GAUGAACGCUAGCGGCAGGCCUAACACAUGCAAGUCGAGGGGUAGAAGCUUUCGGGCUUUGAGACCGGCGCACGGGUGCGUAACGCGUAUGCAAUCUGCCUUGUACUGAGGGAUAGCCCAGAGAAAUUUGGAUUAACACCUCAUAGUAUUUUAGUGUGGCAUCACAUUAUUAUUAAAGGUUACGGUACAAGAUGAGCAUGCGUCCCAUUAGCUAGUUGGUAUGGUAACGGCAUACCAAGGCUACGAUGGGUAGGGGUCCUGAGAGGGAGAUCCCCCACACUGGUACUGAGAAACGGACCAGACUCCUACGGGAGGCAGCAGUGAGGAAUAUUGGUCAAUGGUCGAAAGACUGAACCAGCCAUGCCGCGUGCAGGAUGAAGCAUCUAUGGUGUGUAAACUGCUUUUGUACGGGAAGAAACACCGCUACGUGUAGCGGCUUGACGGUACCGUAAGAAUAAGGAUCGGCUAACUCCGUGCCAGCAGCCGCCGUAAGAC
rnacentral:rRNA from 1 species